GAAGCAAACAUCGACAUAGGGAGAGAUAUCGAGAUGUGGAGAGUCGACUGUAACUCAUAAUCUGUUUUCCUGCGUAUAAAAUAAGAAGUUCUACUAAAAACCUGAUAAAAUGGGGUAUUCCUGACAAAGGAGUAUAUAGCUGCUCAACAUUCAAAAAUUAAAAUUAGAAUUGACAUCAAUAUUUGGAUUGGCGGCUCACAACAGCAUCUGUUCCAAGGUAUAUUGAAGAAAGGUUCAGCAAUCUAAGCAGUCAGUGGAUGCGGGGAGUGGUAAACAGUGGAGGGUAGAAAAUGACAGCUGGCGAGUCGGCGAGCUGGCUGAUUCGUUAAUGUGAUUUUCCCUUCUAGUGGUUGCUAUCGUUUCCAUAGGAUUGUUUUUAUUGAUCGUAGUGCUUUGAUAAUGAGAAGCAAAACUCAAAGCAUUUGCAAGUAAGUUCAUUGAUACUAUGUAUUAUCUCAAAUAUAAUUUUGAUUUUGCUAUUUUCAGACUAACAUUAAACUCCAUAGAGUAGAAAUACUCAGUUUAGAGUUGCUUCCUUCCAGGGGACCGGCCAGGACAACUGCAUUAAAUACAGGCUGUUACCCGUAGGCGAUGGGCUACGACAGAAAGAGGGAGUUCGCCGAAAUUUCGCGCAAACAAAAUUGAACGUAACAGAUAGAUGGCAUUGACUUAACCGAUGAAACUGUCGAGUGCGCUGGUUCUCUUUUUAAACGGGUGCCGGUAAUACAUGGAAGCCCGUUUACUGUAAAUGGAAUGAAAGCUUUUGUAAUUUUGAGUAUUUUUUACUGUUCAGAAAUUUUGGUUAAUUAAAAAUUCUUUGACCAGUGAUACAUAUGAAACUAAAUAAAAUGCAAUUGAAUAUUG